GGUGCCCCCGCUCCUGGCGACGCUCGCUGGACCAGGUCCACUAGCGGUCGCAGCAUACCGCGCGUCCGGCCGUCCACCGGCCCACCGCGAUCCCGACGCUGCCCGGUUCACCUCCGCGGCACCACCCCGCCUUCCUCUGCCCCCCCUGUUCCUGACUUCCUGUGUUCCAGCGGCGGCCCCUUCCCCUUCCACCAUCGCGGCUGCUCUAGCUCUACUCCUCCUCGCUCGACGCUCGUCCCCGGUGCGCUUUUCGGGAGGCUCACCUCGCCGUUCUCUAGGGUUCGGGCGACGUCGGACGCCGGAGGGAACGGCGGCGGCUGGAGCGCUCCGCUCCGUGGAGGCCGAAGACGAAGGGGGCGGCGGUUUGUGCAUGGGAGACGCUGGCGCGGGGGCUUCAGGACUUCCUCGGCGUGCUAGGUUGCGUUACCUUUCGAAGGGAAGCUCUCGCUAGAUAUUGCUAGCAGUAGCCCUGUCAUGUUUUUUUAUGCAUGUGUUGCCUUUCAAACGGACGCUCUCGUUAGAUAUUGCUAGCAUCCUGUCAUUGUUUGUCAUGAUUUUUUAUGCAUGUGCUUGGCCGCUUGGGUGCUAUAAAAUAAUAGCCUACGAAUUUGUUUGUUUAUUGAUCCGGAUUGGUGUUUGACUAAAUAGUUAAGUAGUCAUUAUCACUCUGUCAUCUUCGUCAAGGUGAUAGAAGAGAUAGGGUAUGAAUAGAGAGUUUUGAGUAAAGUUGUUUCCAUCGUUUGUGCAUGUGCGGAACCAGGUAUGUUAGUAAGUCGGAAACAUACAAUUUUAAUGAAGUAUAAUUUGCUGAGAAGAGCUAUUGCAUUGGGGGUCAGAAGAGUAGAGUAAUUAUUGGACGAUGAUGCAUGCUUUUUGGACAUUGGCAUUGAUAAUAUAAUUAUUUUUCUUCAUUUUGAGAUGUGGCAUCGUGGCCUUUGAGAAUGAUGGUAAACUUUAUUAAUAUAUGGUUGUGUUCCAGUAUUCAAAAUUGAGCUUCUUGGAAAUGAUGGUGAACUUUACACUAUGUUAUUGACAUGGUACCCUAUUCUUUAUACCACUCACCACGUAAUGAUGGUUAAUAUGUACAUAUUCCGAAAUUAAUGAGAUAGAUGAUUAAUAUUGCGAUAUCCUUCAAACUUUGGAACCUCUAGUGACUGUAUUUUGCAUCGAAAUUGUUUAUCUUUUUGUAAUUGGUAGAAGAUGUCAAAGGGUUACUUACAGAUUGUUCAACCAAAGAUCCUUCUCUCACUUUAGUAUUUUUGGAUUUGAAUUUCUCAACUAGGUUUGUCUUUGUUCCAUUUGGUCAUAUGUUUUCCUUUCACCUGUCCAUUGUAUCUCUCUUUGUGACUUCCCUGAUAUAAAAGGUCUGGUAGUUUAUAUUUUUUCCCCCUAAAGACAAUACAUUCCAUUCAGAGAUGGAAUCUGGAAAUCAUCAGCUAGCAUUUCAAAAGUUCUCAUUGCUUACAUAAGGAAAAAGAUUCUGUAUGGAUGGUGGAAGUUAACAUUUUUUUUGGCGUGCAAAUUGUAUACACAUAAACGAAAUCCAACUGAAUUGGAUACUUUGAUUCAUGUGCAUAUGUUUCUGUUUGUUCUACAAUUAUAUUCCUGUGGUUUGAGUUCCUCUGAGACUAAUGGUGUAUAGUUGUUUUUUUUACAGGAAAAGGAAAUGCUGUAGAAUUGUUUGGAUCCUGUUGGUGUAGUUCAGUCUCUAAUGCACCAUCUUGAACUCCAUAUGCAGCUCACGGCCCUGCAGAUGGUGUUGCACAAUACUACCAAGAACAGUUGGAAAUUACUGGAAGGUUUUAGUGAAAUGGACACACUGACACAUCGUGGUUUCCUUCCUGCUAUAUCUACGGAAGAGCGUGAGACAGUUGCCUGAAAAGAGAUUUGGGCUAUCCAAUCAUGUAACAUUGCAAACAUGGUUCUUUUUGGUGCAAAAGUUUAUGGCUCAGUAAGGAGUGGCUCCCUGCUUAUUAUUGCUUCUGCCUUGGAUUCUCCACUGGACUUCUUACCCGAGUUUAUAUUGUAGUUUACUGCCUUUUCUGUGCAAACACAAAGUCCAUACAUUAUUACAUACAGAUACCCAGCUUGUAAAAGGCGCAUGCAACCUCUGGGAGAUGAGUUCUGCUUGACAAAAGAGCAGGAAAACUGGGUUGUCAAUAUUAUGCUCUCAGUGACACUGGUGAAGCUUCUCCUGGGACAAUGAUUGCUUAACAUUCACCAAUGAAAUAGUUAAGGCCUAUGCACAGGAUCACCUUUUUGAUGUUAUCACCAACGUUAUUGGGCUUGUGGCUGCACUUCUUGCUAUUUAGGUUCAAGCCUGGAUUGUCCCAGUUAGAGCUAUUGUAAGUUUUUAGGGGAUCGUGCAUGAGCACGUUUUUCAUUAAGAAGGAAGGAGAACUGUUACAAACUCGGCGUCGAAGUUAACCCAGGUUACCGCCGCACCCGAGCGAGCACAAACUAAAACCGACAGUGAAACUGACAGUGAGCACGAGGUUGUAAUUACACUGAACCAGAUUUACGACGAGAAGGAAAGCAAGAGCUUCAGCUUCAGACCACCGCCAAGAGCGAGCUCAUUGCAUCCGCUGAUCACCAGAAGAAUUCUUUCCUCCUGCAGUGGUUGACGUUGCAGAGGCGACCUCGAGUUUUUCGCAACAGGCAUGGACCUAAAGACGAUCUCGAUGUAAGAGAAACAAGUUGCAGUACUAGUACAAUGCAAGCUGCCUUGUCUGUUGUGCAAUAACUUUGUGAUGGCACCAGGCGACUCCGACUCGAUUGCAUUGGUCUUAUCAAUUGCACUACGCAAUCAAUGACAACUCAACCUAAAACGUUGUGCUAAUCAAUGUGAGGCCCCGGCUCCAAUGCAAAGUGGCGUGGCGCAAAUAAUGGGUUUCAAGGUCAAUUCAAUCUUUCAAGUUUUAUUUGCUUCACAUUUGCAGCUCGCGACAUAUGAGGAUUUAGAACAUGGUCGAAGACGAUGCUGGAAAACGUCCACUCCCUGGUUGGUCAGUCGGCAUCGCCAAAUUUUCUUCAGAAGCUCACGUACCCUCCGCUGGAUCGGAACCACUAGAAGGCUGUGACUCUGUGAGGCGCACGGCGCGGGCGGGCGUACACAUUCGGUUCCUUUGCCACUACUUCGUUGAGGCCUUGUUUGGAUGUAGUGAGAUUCGUAUCAAUCCACAUGUAUUGAGCUGGGUUAGAGUGGAACUUGAACUAAAUUCCACCUCAAUCCACUCCAAUACAUGUGGAUUGAGAUGAAUCCGACAACAUCCAAACAAAGCCUGAGGUGGAUUUGGAUACCGUCCUUCCUUGCGCCUGUGCGCGGUGCGCCAUGCCUCUGCGGGAGGCCCACGACAUUGGUGACGUCUUGCAGGAGCUGGCUGCCUCGGAUCGAGCGUGCCUUCGUCCACCUUGAAUACGAGUUCAUUCACCACUCCGAGAAUGCUCGGUCGCAUGUAUGACAAUUACCUUACUGAAAAGUAAAGUGCGAUUUGCAGAGCUUGAUGAA